GCCAAAUUAGCACAGUGGUUAGUGUAUAUAUCUUGUAAAUAUAUGACUAAGGUUCGAUUCCUUAAUUUGGUA
rnacentral:tRNA from 1 species